AGUGAACGCUGGCGGUAGGCCUAACACAUGCAAGUCGAACGGCAGCACAGUAAGAGCUUGCUCUUACGGGUGGCGAGUGGCGGACGGGUGAGGAAUACAUCGGAAUCUGCUUUUUCGUGGGGGAUAACGUAGGGAAACUUACGCUAAUACCGCAUACUACCUACGGGUGAAAGCAGGGGAUCUUCGGACCUUGCGCGAUUGAAUGAGCCGAUGUCGGAUUAGCUAGUUGGCGGGGUAAAGGCCCACCAAGGCGACGAUCCGUAGCUGGUCUGAGAGGAUGAUCAGCCACACUGGAACUGAGACACGGUCCAGACUCCUACGGGAGGCAGCAGUGGGGAAUAUUGGACAAUGGGCGCAAGCCUGAUCCAGCCAUACCGCGUGGGUGAAGAAGGCCUUCGGGUUGUAAAGCCCUUUUGCUGGGAAAGAAAAGCAGCAGGUUAAUACCCCGCUGUUCUGACGGUACCCAAAGAAUAAGCACCGGCUAACUUCGUG
rnacentral:rRNA from 1 species